rnacentral:ribozyme from 1 species
AAAACAGCGAAAAGUACACGCAAUCUGGCAUCGAUGUGCUCGAGAAUGAGAAUGAAGAGGAUGUGAAUCUGAAUUUCGAUGUCAAUCGACAGAAAAGACGAGAGUUUCUCGGCGUCAUCGAUAACGCGAUGGCG